rnacentral:rRNA from 1 species
UACGUAGGGUGCAAGCGUUAAUCGGAAUUACUGGGCGUAAAGCGUGCGCAGGCGGUUGUGCAAGACCGAUGUGAAAUCCCCGGGCUUAACCUGGGAAUGGCAUUGGUGACUGCACGGCUAGAGUGUGUCAGAGGGGGGUAGAAUUCCACGUGUAGCAGUGAAAUGCGUAGAGAUGUGGAGGAAUACCGAUGGCGAAGGCAGCCCCCUGGGAUAACACUGACGCUCAUGCACGAAAGCGUGGGGAGCGAAACAGG